AUAUUAGUACUAGUUAAGAGUGUAUAAGAGCUCUUUCCAAUGUUGUGUUCAUUUAUAUGGAAUGGAAUGAAUUGAGGAGAGAAUGAAAUAGAAAAUCAUGGAAAAAGUUUUAUGAAGAUCGAAGAAAAUAUGAGAAAUAAUGAUUAUAUAUGAACGAGUCUAAAUUUUCCAGCGAUUGAAGAUUGUAUGUAAACAUUAUGUCGAAGUGGAAUGAACAUUUUUUCCGGAAUAUGUAAGUUAGAUUCAUAGUUCAAUGGUCAGGAUAGGAAUGAUUAAAAUAAUGAAAAUUAAGAAGAAAAAAAAGUCUAAUCACCUUUGAUUUAUAGUAUUUCAUUCUAAUUUCUUAUUAUUUCAUUUCAUUCACGUGAAUGUAGUCUUAAUCAUUUUAAAUGUAUUUAAGAAUUUCUUAAGCAAUUUUUUCUCUUUUUUCCUCAAAUUUCAAAUUAAAAAUCUAAAUAGAUAAAUUCUUGGAGAUGCUUUAAAAAUCUCUUCAAUUUGGGCCAAAAUACUUUAUUUUUACUGUGAGAACUCACAUGGAAACUCAACGCCCAUUUGUUUAAGGGAAGCAGAAGCAGAAGCUGUUUAUAGCUUAUACUUUUCCUGAACCGGUUAUGUUAAUAAACUAUAGCAUGUUUAAAAAGUUGAGAAUAUUAGAUUUUCUCUCAGAACUUUCAUUUCUUUUAUAAAUACUUUAUUUAUCUAUUUAUUUCUCAAAUUUAAUAAAUUUUGUAUUUUAAACAACAAAUCAUUUUUUUAAAAUUUGUACAAACCAUAGCUCACAAAGCCUUUCGGAAAUGCUCAAACGCUCACGUUGAACGUGCAGGGGCCAAGGGUAUUAAAUGAUGUAUGCUUUUUACAGCUUUCUUUGACAACCAUAUCUUAAAAAAAAACAAAACAUGUGCUGUUGACACAGUUACACAUGUGUCUAGUUGGUUAGGAUCUCGUGUCCUCCUAAUUGGCUCAUAAAUAUAAUGACUUUAGAGCAUCUUCAACUGCGUUAACUAUAAUCGUUGGCUAAAUUGGACCUGUAAGACAUUAUGUAAAAUUUGCGAAAUUUGUAAGACAUUUUGCUUCAAUGGUACUGGCUAUAUUGGUUGACUAUAAUUUAAAAAUAGUAUGUUAUUAAUAUUAUAAAUUGUUAAAAUAGAAUAUAUCAGUUUAAUAUGGUAAUAAAUGAUGUACAAUCUUCCUACAGAUUUUCUUACAGACCUGUAGAGGUUCGACAAAUUUAGCCAUCCAUAGGAGGUUGGCUAAAUUUAUAGACAACAGGUGAGCAUGGUUGGAGUUGAGUUUUUGGAGCUGUUGGCUAAAUUUUUUUAUUUUAGGUAUGCCAGCUCAUCUUUUAGCCAAGGGCUUUAGAUGGUUGGAGAUGCUCUUAUUUGAGAAUUAGCGGUUAGUUAUUAGCGGAUCGAAUUAGAUUUUUUGACUGGCUGAUUAAAUUAGAUGUUUUAAUUAGCACAUUAAAUUAGUUAUUUCUUGUAAAAUUGUUUGGUAAAUAGAUUGAUUAGUUUUCUCUGACACAAACCAAAACCUCUAGCUCAAAAAACUCCCCAAAGUUGUUUUUUCAAAAUUAGCUUUUUGAAUGCAAAUCUCUAUUUUAAUCUUAGCAUAUUUCAGUGGUCAAAUCUGUAAAACAUCGGAAACUUCUAACUUUUUCCAAACCUCUAAUUUCCAAACAUGGCCAAUAUAUAAACAAUGUGGCUCUUAGCAAUUUAGUACAAAGUUAAGAGCGUAAACUCUAAUAAUACUCUAUAUAUCUCUUCUCUGUUUCAUAUUUUAUUUUUAUUAAGCUCCACUAUAACAAAGUUAAGUGGAGGUCAACCGAUAAUGAUGAAUUUUUUAUUGUGAAAAACUAGGUUAAAAGCCACGUGGUGACUCUUAACUUUGAGGAGUGAGAAGAGAGGAGAGAAAAAUAAGAAGUUUUUAAUGAUUUAAAGAGUCACUAAAAAUCUCUUAAAGCAAUUUUUUUCUUUAUCCUUCUCAAAUUUCAAUUAAGAGCCUAAAUAAAUAGUCUCUUGGGAUGCUCCAAAUCAUGAUAUUUACUAGCCAGCAUCUCGUUUUCAAAUUUUAAGUGAGUUUGCCUUAUAUAAAUAAAAUCCUUCGUUAUAAAAUAAAAAAUACAUGCGUCUUUCGAAUAAUAUAGUAAUCAAGACACACCUUACUUUAUAUCCACACUUAAUGUUCCAAUGUAGUACUUGGUUAUUUAACAUUACACUUUGAAAGAUUACACUUUGCUAAGUGCUUAAAUCGACUGCAGAACAGGAGUAAUUAUAAAUAAAUCUUUAUAUUUAUAUAAAGGAGGAUCCUUCAGAGGAUGACGUGGCCUCUCUUACAACUCUCCAUUUAAAUUUCCUAUUUUCCUAUGAAUUCUGUGUUUUCUUAAUUUUUAAUUUACUCUUACUGUACUUUUAUUUCAACUCUUUUUGCUUUCUCAUCUCAUUAAUUAUAUUUCGGUUACGUCCUUUUGAUUUUGUUCUUAGACUUCGUUGGCUCUUCUCAACUUUCAUUUGUCUGUUCUACCUCCACUUUUCUCCAACUCCCCCUCCAAAGCACCCUCACUCUCUCUCCUCCCCGCCUGUUCAAUCACCCAUCUCAAGAAAUUGGGGUCUCUUUCGGGUUUGGGCAAUGACACUCUUUGACUACGGUUUAUGGAGGUCCAGGAGAAGGUUGAAGCUCAUAUGCGACGCUUACAGCCUACAGGAAGAUGCUAAGCAAUUGGCUGAGAUUUGUGAACUCCGAGUCCAGGUGACCUUGUCAAUAUUUCUUGCUACAUUUGCUGGAGUUGGAGGAGCAAUGUGUGGAGCUUAUUUUAUAAUUGAAGUUUGAAAUUGCACAGAAGGUGGUUUUGGUUUAGAAAAUACUCCCUCUGUUUUUUAAUAUAUGACGUUUGACUUUUUGGCACACACUUUUAAGUGCUUUGACCGGAUAGUUAAAUACAUUAUUUUUGAAAUUUUCUUUUUUUGAAUAAAGUUAUAUAAUCAAAAUUUUAAUUCACAAAAAAAAUCAAUUAAAAAUAAUAAUUUUUGCUAGCCGGUCAACCCACCUAAAAUUACGUGCCCAGGUCAAAAGUGACAUAUAAAAAAAACAGAGGGAGUAACAUCACAAUUUUGAUGAAGCUAGAGAAGUGCAGCAGUCAUCAGGUUCUCAUCAUGCGCCUCACUCAAAUCUAUUUAAGCCCAGAAGCCAAGAAUUUGUGAAAGGGAGCCAACUCAAUUCAUAUUCCACCGAGUUGAUUUACGUUACAAUGAAUAAUGCACUAACCCUUUUAAUCAGUAAAAGGGAAAUUAAUGUGAAAAUAGUGAACUACACAAAUCAUGAAGUGUGGCCUUGAGAUUUUGGGAACCUCUUCUCUCUCGGAAAAAAGCUGAAAUGUCAAGUUUUUUGGCGAGCUUUGGACAUAAUUGGAGGGUAUUUUUGUGGGUAUCAGAUGAUGCGCAAUGGAUUUCUCUGUAGUUGUAACCUUAAACCUCAGUUGUGAGCCUUUGAACAUUGUGAGUUUUGAGGUGGCUAUGAAAUCAUACUCCUUUCGAGCUUGAUGAAGCAAUGCAUUAAAGAGUGCUUUGUCAAGUAAAGUGAUUCAGAUUACAUAUUGAGUUUAAGACGAGAGAAAAAUAGGGGCCCUUACUACCUUCAUCUGAGCAGCGCCCCAAAGUUUUGUGAUGAGCAAAGCAAAAGGUUGUCUGUUUCCAGAUUUUGUACCAGACUGGUCGCAAGGAAUGCAGAUAUUAUCUACUUUAUUACAUAACUCUGUUCAUAAUGAGUUCUCCACAAAUUUUAAGCGUCCCUGAUAGCUACUUGAACUUGGUAAGUUCCAUAUAACAA